UGAUAAUAAUCUAAAGUGGUUUCUAUGUAACACAACCUUCAGAUUAUAACCUCAAUAGUGUGACCUAAUUCUAAUAUCUGAUGAAGUGUUUGCUAUAUUUAGUCACUACCUAGUAGCAUUAUUUGUAUUUAGCAACUACAUUGAAAGCUGAAGAAGAUCUCAAUGCUUGACAGAAUAAGGAAAAAGCUCCUUUGGAUAACACAAAAAUAUGUUUUGUUUUUUUCCCCUCCUCUAUCAUUCCUUUCUUCUCUACCUCCACUUAUUCUUCCUCUGAUAUCAUCUUUCAUUAAAUUUUUCUCCAGAAUCCAAUAGUGAGCAACAGGAAACCUAGCCAUUGUGAUAGUGGAUAUGUAGAGAAAAGCCAGUGAAACUAUAUUUUAAUUCAUUCUUACACCACAGCCUACAUCAAUUCUUACCAUCCCAACAGUAGAUUACAUAAACUGAACAUCAUGCAACUCAAGUUAUACGUCUUGUUGAUUGGGUCUAUUGUAGAAUGAAAAAUACACUUUCAGACAGAAUAAGAUGACUUAAAACUUCAAUACUUGUAUCCAGCAGAUUUGAAAGGGCACUUCAAAUUUGUUCUUCUUUUUCUCCCCCAUCACCC
rnacentral:lncRNA from 1 species